rnacentral:rRNA from 1 species
UACGAAGGGGGCUAGCGUUGUUCGGAAUUACUGGGCGUAAAGGGCGCGUAGGCGGUCAGCACAAGUCAGUUGUGAAAUCUCCGGGCUUAACUCGGAAAGGUCAACUGAUACUGUGCGACUAGAGUGCGGAAGGGGCAACUGGAAUUCUCGGUGUAGCGGUGAAAUGCGUAGAUAUCGAGAGGAACACCUGCGGCGAAGGCGGGUUGCUGGGCCGACACUGACGCUGAGGCGCGAAAGCCAGGGGAGCGAACGGG